GUUCCUCUUAGGUUUCGGUCUUUUUUCAUUAUGCGCAUGCGCGUAUACUACACGCAUGCGCGGCAUAACACGGAACUGUUCUCUUGAACUAUGGAGUAUUUUGCGCCUUUAUGCGUUCCACGGAUGGAACGCACGCUGUAAAACAGAUGGACGCAAUCAAGUACAGAUCUGCUACAGUAUUUAAACCGGAAAAUAGAAGUACAGAAAUAUCCCUGAAGAAGUCCUACACCCCUACAGGACGAAACGCGUUGGAUUCUCUAUAUAUGAACUUUUAAUUAUUGUUUAUUAUUUUUAUUCAUUUGUAUUUUGGGCUGUUUUCCUAUAACUACUCCUGUUGGAUCCUAUUCUGGACCGCUGACCACACUGGAUGGAGUUCCAGGUUAUAAGGAGAUACGCUUUUUAUGAUUUUCACAUAUGUAAGUGUGACCAAUAAAUG